UGCAGUCGAGCGGUAGAGAGAAGCUUGCUUCUCUUGAGAGCGGCGGACGGGUGAGUAAUGCCUAGGAAUCUGCCUGGUAGUGGGGGAUAACGUUCGGAAACGGACGCUAAUACCGCAUACGUCCUACGGGAGAAAGCAGGGGACCUUCGGGCCUUGCGCUAUCAGAUGAGCCUAGGUCGGAUUAGCUAGUUGGUGGGGUAAUGGCUCACCAAGGCGACGAUCCGUAACUGGUCUGAGAGGAUGAUCAGUCACACUGGAACUGAGACACGGUCCAGACUCCUACGGGAGGCAGCAGUGGGGAAUAUUGGACAAUGGGCGAAAGCCUGAUCCAGCCAUGCCGCGUGUGUGAAGAAGGUCUUCGGAUUGUAAAGCACUUUAAGUUGGGAGGAAGGGUUGUAGAUUAAUACUCUGCAAUUUUGACGUUACCGACAGAAUAAGCACCGGCUAACUCUGUGCCAGCAGCCGCGGUAAUACAGAGGGUGCAAGCGUUAAUCGGAAUUACUGGGCGUAAAGCGCGCGUAGGUGGUUAGUUAAGUUGGAUGUGAAAUCCCCGGGCUCAACCUGGGAACUGCAUUCAAAACUGACUGACUAGAGUAUGGUAGAGGGUGGUGGAAUUUCCUGUGUAGCGGUGAAAUGCGUAGAUAUAGGAAGGAACACCAGUGGCGAAGGCGACCACCUGGACUGAUACUGACACUGAGGUGCGAAAGCGUGGGGAGCAAACAGGAUUAGAUACCCUGGUAGUCCACGCCGUAAACGAUGUCAACUAGCCGUUGGGAGCCUUGAGCUCUUAGUGGCGCAGCUAACGCAUUAAGUUGACCGCCUGGGGAGUACGGCCGCAAGGUUAAAACUCAAAUGAAUUGACGGGGGCCCGCACAAGCGGUGGAGCAUGUGGGUUAAUUCGAAGCACCGCGAAGAACCUUACCAGGCCUUGACAUCCAAUGAACUUUCUAGAGAUAGAUUGGUGCCUUCGGGAACUUUGAAACAGGUGCUGCAUGGCUGUCG
rnacentral:rRNA from 1 species